rfam:Dendroctonus ponderosae Seq01037854, whole genome shotgun sequence.
ACACCCUGGAUUCUCUUCAAAGCGUAUAAAUCUUUCGCCUUUUACUAAAGAUUUCCGUGGAGAGGGUCAAUAUAAAUGGGUCUUGAAGAAUUUUUCUGUAUGCCCUGUUCUUCGGAAUG